GCUGGUGUAGCUCAGCGGUAGAGCUCCUGUUUUGUAAACAGGGGGUCGCGGGUUCAAAUCCCGCCGCCAGCU
rnacentral:tRNA from 1 species